AAGAACCGGAACUAUGGUUUGUGCCUGCCUGAUUGCCAGUGAAAUAUUUUUAACUGCAGAGGUAUGAAAGAUGUUACUACAAACUUUGUCUUAGGAUGACUGAGUUUGCUAGUUCUGAAACAUCACUGGAAAGAUUGUACUAUUUUGGAGAACGGCGAACAGAUAAAACCAAUGGCACUAAAUAUCAGGGAGUAGAAACUCCUUCUCAGAAUAGAUAUGUUGGAUAUUUUGCACAAGUGAAACAUAGCUACAACUGGAAUCUCCCUCCAAGAAAAACACUGUUUAUAAAAAGAUUCGUUAUUUAUUCGAUUCAUGGUGUUGGAACAGGCGAUGGAUAUGAUCUAAAAGUCCAAAUAGUAAUGAAGAAAAAGAUUGUCUUUUCCUGUACUUCCUUAAAGAAUUGUCGGGUAUUUCAUGACACUGAAACAGACAGGGUAAUAACUGAUGUGUUCAACUGUCCACCUCUGUAUGAUGAUGUGAAAGUGCAAGCUUCCUCUUCAGCUUUAUCUACAAAGAAAUGAAUUGGAUAAUCUUCAU
rnacentral:lncRNA from 1 species